GGUGGGGCUCUGCCCCCCUGGCCCUGAAUGAUGGGUCGCCACUGCUUCUUCCAUAUCCUCAUGUGUUGCCAAUGUUUGACAACCCAAGUUUGCUGAUGGUGUGUAUCUGGUUCUGCUGAUGGGACUGCUGGAGGACUACUUUGUCCCCCUCUACAACUUCUUCCUCACACCGGAGAACUUUGAGCAGAUGGCCCACAAUGUGACGUUUGCCUUUGAGCUGAUGCAGGACAGAGCCCUGAAGAAACCCAAAGCCAAACCAGACGAAUAUCAUACAACAUUAUUGCCUGAUGAUCUUCUGAACAUCCCAAUACCUUUCUGAUGCAUUUCAGUCACUUCAAACUAUACUUCCUUCAGAUGGAAAUACUGUCAAAAGUACUGUCAGACUGAUUUGUAAUAGAUUGUAAU